rnacentral:rRNA from 1 species
UUAAGCGACUAAGCGUACACGGUGGAUGCCCUGGCAGUCAGAGGCGAUGAAGGCGUGCUAAUCUGCGAUAAGCGCCGGUAAGGUGAUAUGAACCGUUAUAACCGGCGAUCCGAAUGGGGAAACCCAGUGUGAUUCGUCACACUAUCAUUAACUGAAUCCAUAGGUUAAUGAGGCGAACCGGGGGAACUGAAACAUCUAAGUACCCCGAGGAAAAGAAAUCAACCGAGAUUCCCCCAGUAGCGGCGAGCGAACGGGGAGGAGCCCAGAGCCUGAAUCAGCAUGUGUGUUAGUGGAAGCGUCUGGAAAGGCGCGCGAUACAGGGUGACAGCCCCGUACACAAAAGCGCAUGUGCUGUGAGCUCGAUGAGUAGGGCGGGACACGUGGUAUCCUGUCUGAAUAUGGGGGGACCAUCCUCCAAGGCUAAAUACUCCUGACUGACCGAUAGUGAACCAGUACCGUGAGGGAAAGGCGAAAAGAACCCCGGCGAGGGGAGUGAAAAAGAACCUGAAACCGUGUACGUACAAGCAGUGGGAGCACAGGUUUACCUGUGUGACUGCGUACCUUUUGUAUAAUGGGUCAGCGACUUAUAUUCUGUAGCAAGGUUAACCGAAUAGGGGAGCCGGAGGGAAACCGAGUCUUAAUUGGGCGUUAAGUUGCAGGGUAUAGACCCGAAACCCGGUGAUCUAGCCAUGGGCAGGUUGAAGGUUGGGUAACACUAACUGGAGGACCGAACCGACUAAUGUUGAAAAAUUAGCGGAUGACCUGUGGCUGGGGGUGAAAGGCCAAUCAAACCGGGAGAUAGCUGGUUCUCCCCGAAAGCUAUUUAGGUAGCGCCUCGUGAAUUCAUCUCCGGGGGUAGAGCACUGUUUCGGCUAGGGGGCCAUCCCGGCUUACCAACCCGAUGCAAACUGCGAAUACCGGAGAAUGUUAUCACGGGAGACACACGGCGGGUGCUAACGUCCGUCGUGAAGAGGGAAACAACCCAGACCGCCAGCUAAGGUCCCAAAGUCAUGGUUAAGUGGGAAACGAUGUGGGAAGGCCCAGACAGCCAGGAUGUUGGCUUAGAAGCAGCCAUCAUUUAAAGAAAGCGUAAUAGCUCACUGGUCGAGUCGGCCUGCGCGGAAGAUGUAACGGGGCUAAACCAUGCACCGAAGCUGCGGCAGCGAACGUAUCACCCAAGACAACUUUACGGAGUUGACGAUUGACGGAGCGAAGCGACGUCAAAGCGUUCAUUAAAGUCGAGUUGGCUUAGGGAUACGUUCGUUGGGUAGGGGAGCGUUCUGUAAGCCUGUGAAGGUGUGUCGUGAGGCAUGCUGGAGGUAUCAGAAGUGCGAAUGCUGACAUAAGUAACGAUAAAGCGGGUGAAAAGCCCGCUCGCCGGAAGACCAAGGGUUCCUGUCCAACGUUAAUCGGGGCAGGGUGAGUCGACCCCUAAGGCGAGGCCGAAAGGCGUAGUCGAUGGGAAACGGGUUAAUAUUCCCGUACUUGGUGUUACUGCGAAGGGGGGACGGAGAAGGCUAUGUUGGCCGGGCGACGGUUGUCCCGGUUUAAGCGUGUAGGUGUGUGUUCCAGGUAAAUCCGGUUCACUUUAACACUGAGGCGUGACGACGAGGCACUACGGUGCUGAAGCAACAAAUGCCCUGCUUCCAGGAAAAGCCUCUAAGCAUCAGGUAACACGAAAUCGUACCCCAAACCGACACAGGUGGUCAGGUAGAGAAUACCAAGGCGCUUGAGAGAACUCGGGUGAAGGAACUAGGCAAAAUGGUGCCGUAACUUCGGGAGAAGGCACGCUGACACGUAGGUGAAGUGAUUUACUCAUGGAGCUGAAGUCAGUCGAAGAUACCAGCUGGCUGCAACUGUUUAUUAAAAACACAGCACUGUGCAAACACGAAAGUGGACGUAUACGGUGUGACGCCUGCCCGGUGCCGGAAGGUUAAUUGAUGGGGUCAGCGCAAGCGAAGCUCCUGAUCGAAGCCCCGGUAAACGGCGGCCGUAACUAUAACGGUCCUAAGGUAGCGAAAUUCCUUGUCGGGUAAGUUCCGACCUGCACGAAUGGCGUAAUGAUGGCCAGGCUGUCUCCACCCGAGACUCAGUGAAAUUGAACUCGCUGUGAAGAUGCAGUGUACCCGCGGCAAGACGGAAAGACCCCGUGAACCUUUACUAUAGCUUGACACUGAACAUUGAGCCUUGAUGUGUAGGAUAGGUGGGAGGCUUUGAAGUGUGGACGCCAGUCUGCAUGGAGCCGACCUUGAAAUACCACCCUUUAAUGUUUGAUGUUCUAACGUGGACCCGUAAUCCGGGUUGCGGACAGUGUCUGGUGGGUAGUUUGACUGGGGCGGUCUCCUCCUAAAGAGUAACGGAGGAGCACGAAGGUUGGCUAAUCCUGGUCGGACAUCAGGAGGUUAGUGCAAUGGCAUAAGCCAGCUUGACUGCGAGCGUGACGGCGCGAGCAGGUGCGAAAGCAGGUCAUAGUGAUCCGGUGGUUCUGAAUGGAAGGGCCAUCGCUCAACGGAUAAAAGGUACUCCGGGGAUAACAGGCUGAUACCGCCCAAGAGUUCAUAUCGACGGCGGUGUUUGGCACCUCGAUGUCGGCUCAUCACAUCCUGGGGCUGAAGUAGGUCCCAAGGGUAUGGCUGUUCGCCAUUUAAAGUGGUACGCGAGCUGGGUUUAGAACGUCGUGAGACAGUUCGGUCCCUAUCUGCCGUGGGCGCUGGAGAACUGAGGGGGGCUGCUCCUAGUACGAGAGGACCGGAGUGGACGCAUCACUGGUGUUCGGGUUGUCAUGCCAAUGGCACUGCCCGGUAGCUAAAUGCGGAAGAGAUAAGUGCUGAAAGCAUCUAAGCACGAAACUUGCCCCGAGAUGAGUUCUCCCUGAGACUUAGAGUCUCCUGAAGGAACGUUGAAGACGACGACGUUGAUAGGCCGGGUGUGUAAGCGCAGCGAUGCGUUGAGCUAACCGGUACUAAUGAACCGUGAGGCUUAACCU